AACGCGAAGAACCUUACCUGGGUUUGACAUGGAUCGGGAGUGCUCAGAGAUGGGUGUGCCUCUUUUGGGGUCGGUUCACAGGUGGUGCAUGGCUGUCGUCAGCUCGUGUCGUGAGAUGUUGGGUUAAGUCCCGCAACGAGCGCAACCCUUGUUCACUGUUGCCAGCACGUUAUGGUGGGGACUCAGUGGAGACCGCCGGGGUCAACUCGGAGGAAGGUGGGGAUGACGUCAAGUCAUCAUGCCCCUUAUGUCCAGGGCUUCACGCAUGCUACAAUGGCUGGUACAGAGAGUGGCGAGCCUGUGAGGGUGAGCGAAUCUCGGAAAGCCGGUCUCAGUUCGGAUUGGGGUCUGCAACUCGACCUCAUGAAGUCGGAGUCGCUAGUAAUCGCAGAUCAGCACG
rnacentral:rRNA from 1 species